AUGUUGGAAUACAUUGACUUGUCCAAUAACCAAGUAAGUUCAAAGAUACCAACAAGCUUAUUCCAGCUUGAUAAACUUAUCCAGCUAUUUCUUUUCCAAAAUUUCCUUGCUGGUGCAUUACCGACCAAUGCUGAUGGUCUAAUACAAAUCGAUCAAAUGGACAUUUCUUCCAACUUCUUGACAGGAACCAUCCCACAAUCAUUUUCUCUACUUAGGAUGCUAACCUACCUAAAUAUGUCACACAACUCGUUCGAUGGCUCAAUCCCAGACCAGCUUCAAAGGUUAACCAGCUUAGCAACAUUAGACCUCUCCUCCAACAAUCUUUCCGGCAAAAUUCCCAAGUUCCUUGCCAAUUUUACCUACUUGACUACAUUAAACCUCUCGUUCAAUAGGCUAGAAGGACAAAUACCAGAGGGAGGUGUUUUCUCAACCCUCACAUUGCAAUCUUUGAUUGGGAAUGCUGGACUAUGUGGUGUUCCACGCUUGGGAUUUUUGUCAUGCCUUGCCCAAUCCCACUCAAGCAGUAGGCAUUUGCUGGAAUUUCUGCUCCCUGCUGCCAUUGUAGCUUUUUGCGGUAUUGCUACCUUCGCAUACCUAUUGAUAGGAAGAAAGCUUAAACAGGGAGAUGUUGUUAAUGCCUCGGCCGAUCCGACUGAUUCUGUAAUAAGCCAUCAGUUAGUCUCCUACCAUGAGUUAGUUCGUAUUACUGAUAACUUCAGUGAUGAUAAGAUGUUGGGGUCUGGAAGCUUUGGAAAAGUUUUCAAGGGACAAUUGAGCAACGGUUUGAUGGUUGCAAUAAAAGUCCUAGACAUGCAGCUGGAGCAGGCUAUCAGAAGCUUCAAUACUGAGUGUGGUGUAUUGCGUAUGGCACGACACCGCAACCUCAUAAGGAUACUCAACACCUGUUCCAACUUGGACUUCAGAGCACUUGUGUUGCCGUACAUGCCUAAUGGUAGUUUGGAGAUGCUCCUACACUCCCCUCAAGGCUCGACAUACUUGGGGUUCCUUGAGCGGCUAGGCAUCAUGCUUGAAGUGGCACUGGCAAUGCAGUACCUGCACCAUGAACACCAUGAGGUGGUCUUGCACUGUGACUUGAAGCCUAGCAACGUGUUGUUCGAUGAUGACAUGACGGCGCAUGUGGCAGACUUUGGCAUCGCAAGGUUGCUACUCCGGGAUGACACCUCUAUGAUCUCUGCCAGCAUGCCUGGAACAAUUGGCUACAUGGCACCAGAGUACGGGUCCCUUGGAAAAGCAUCACGGAAGGCUGAUGUGUUCAGCUACGGGGUCAUGCUCCUUGAAGUCUUCACUAGAAAGAGACCAACCGAUGCCUUUUUCAAUGGAGAUCUAAGCCUUAGGCAAUGGGUUUUUGAAGCGUUUCCUGCGGAACUCGUCCAUGUUAUAGAUGUCCAUCUACUCCAAGGCGCUUCUGGCUGCAGCUUUGAAGGGUUUCUAGCGCCAGUAUUCGAGCUGGGUUUGCGCUGCACCAGCUUCGCACCUGACGACAGGAUGACGAUGAGCGAUGUGGUUGUGAUGCUGGAGAAAAUAAAAAAGGAAUAUGCUAAAUCAGCACUUGAACAGAGUCAUGCAUCCGAAUGA
rnacentral:rRNA from 1 species